AAUAAAUAAAAGAAAGGGAGAGGAAGGGAAAAGUGAAGUUGGCCAGCUGGACCUGGGACCCAUUUCGCAACCUUGCUGCCUGCAGCCUAGGGGCCCUUUGCUGAGCUCCCCAGCCACCUCCUUCUUCCCCAUGCAGCAUGGUGCAGGGAGGGGAACCCUGAGACCUCUGAGAGCCCCUUCAGACCAUCCUUUCACACACAGUCCAAACUCCUGAGUGACUUCAGCAAACCCGAUUUCCUUCAAGGCCUCUAUUUACAACCUCAGAACCUCCCCUCACCAUACACACCCAUGUUCCCAGGACCCCAAUCUUGCAGUCUGCCUCAUUCUUUCUACAGUGGUGGCAUCCUCCAAGGUGAAGGGAAUACAGAUCAGAGGAGCUCAGCUUAGGAAAUGCAGGGCUGGGCUGGGGUCGGUAGACUGCACCACCAGGCCUGCCCAGGGGCAGCCUGGCAGGAGGCUGGACAAAGCUGGGUUACAGGCUCCAUAGGCCUCUGGAGCUGAGAGACUGGUCAGAGGUGGGGGUGAGAGUGCGCAGGCCUGGUUCCUGACUAAGGGACUAUCAGGCCUGUUGAUCCCUCUGGGCCUCAAUUUUCAGAACUUUAGUCUUUUGUGUAUCACUUUCAAAAUGUCUACCAUGCUUAUGUACAGCUUGCGCUACUGUUUAUUACCAGUUAUUUCAAUUAACUUACUUUUCUUAUUUCGCUGCAUGCUAAACAAUUGCUGAAGUAACAGAUUUGAUGUGCUAGUUACAGGAGUUUCCUAAUGCAUAUCAAAUAAAAACGUAACUAUAACAGUUAAAAAAAAAAAAAAAAAGCUUGUCCAGGUACCAUCUAAAAUCAAAUCAAUGCAUAGCCCCUUUGAGAAAGCAGUAGUGAAAGCCAGGGCUGCUCUUGGUACUGGCCAAGGGUCUUGCCUUCUCUUCCGGCUCUCACCAUGGAGUUCUCUGGUCUUGGAAUUCGAGCCUCAUAGACCUCCCCAAACCACUGGGCCAGCGGCAGAGGGGAGGGGGAGGUAAUCUCAGGUGGGAGGAAAAGAGAUGACCCACCCAAUCCAGGGGGAUAACACUGGGCCUGAGGCAGGAGGGUCAGCAGCCCUGGGGCAUUGAAGAGGAAUGUUCACACACUGCAGGGCCUCAGGGGGGCCCUCGGGGGCUCUCAGGACUCCACAACAGGUCUGACUCACAUGGCCCAGGACACAUGUGAACCAGGCUCAUUUCCUGGCCUCCUUCCUUCUUUCUAUUCUAUUUCUGCUUCCAGAGUUUUCUCUGGGGCAGGCUCCCCCUUCUGCCUGCACCAGCGGGCUGGCCUCGCUGGCUCGAACACCCCUCAAUUGUCAGACUCCUCCCUCUGUGUGCACCCCUGCUGCAUGAGGCUCAGCCCCAGGGGUCCAACAGAGGUCACAGUCACAGCACAGAAUGGAAGGCUUGCAGGGAGGGCUGCCCUGGAGGGCAGAGUGAAAGCAGGGGAAAGCUGCAGCCUUUCUUCUUCGUCCUCCUUGGGGAGCUAAUUACAGGCCAGCAGCCACUGUGCAGGAGCGGUUAUCCGGCUGCAGGAGGUAUCCUUCAACACAGCCACAUAUGAAGGAGCCGUCUGUGUUGGUGCAUAGCUGGCUGCAGGUGCCGUACACUGAGCACUCAUCAAAAUCUGCCGAGGAAAGGGCAAGAAUGUGGUCAUUUCCAGUGUGACAAGGGCAACGAAGUGGGUGAUCAUCAGACAUGAUCAACAUGUCCAUCCUUACAGCUACCUUGAAGGACAGUUCGGCAGAAUCUAUUACAGCAUGAAAUGUGCAAACCUUAACACCCAGCAAGUCCAGUCUUGGAAUCCACUCUAGAGAAACACUCGUGUACAUAUCACUCAUCCACGCAGGGAAGAUUUAUUGAGUCCCUACUAUGGGUCAGGUGCCAGGGGUGCAUCAGUGAACUUUAAAAUAGACCCACAUUGCUGUCCUCAUGAAACUUAUAUUCAGAUAAUAAAUGAAAUAUAGUUACUAUAAUAACAUAUGAAACAAAGUAAAUAAAGUAUACAUUAGAGGUGCUAGUGCAAUGAAAAGAGAACAGGGAUAGAGAAUGCAGAUGGCAGGGAUGCAGUUUUAGAGGGGUCGGGGGACGGCUUCACUGAGAAGGUGGCAUUUGCACAAAGACC
rnacentral:lncRNA from 10 species